rnacentral:rRNA from 1 species
AUGGCGGCUCCCGUUCUCCCCGUAGCGCCGCUGGCGCCCUCGCACCUGUCGCCCUUCAUCUCCGCCCGCCGGAGGUCCUCGUCGGCCUCCUCCGACCCGCCGCGUCGCCGCGGGACGGGCCCGUCGGUGCGCGCGUCGUCGUCGGCAGCGGCGGCGGUGACGAGCGGGUGGGCGCCGGACAGCUGGAGGGCGCGGCCGGCGCGGCAGAUCCCGAAGUACCCGGACGCAGCGGCGCUUGGGGAGGCUGAGCGCACGCUGGCGUCCUUCCCGCCGCUGGUGUUUGCGGGGGAGACGCGGACGCUGGAGGAGCGCCUCGGGGAGGCGGCCAUGGGCCGGGCGUUCCUCCUGCAGGGCGGCGACUGCGCCGAGAGCUUCAAGGAGUUCGGCGCCAACAACAUCCGCGAUACCUUCCGCCUCAUGCUCCAGAUGGCCGUCGUCCUCACCUUCGGGGGGCAGAUGCCCAUCGUCAAGGUUGGAAGGAUGGCAGGCCAAUUUGCAAAGCCAAGAUCGAACCCAAUCGAGACUAGAGAUGGAGUGACACUGCCGUCCUAUCAAGGGGACAUCAUCAACAACGACGAUUUCGAUGAGAAAUCGCGUGCACCAAACCCUCAAAGGUUGAUUAGAGCCUACAGUCAGUCUGCGAGCACCCUGAAUCUUUUGAGAGCAUUUGCCCAUGGAGGAUAUGCUGAUCUUCAGAGAGUCACCGAGUGGAACCUCGACUUUCUGAGGCACAGCACGCAGGGAGACAGGUAUGGGGAGCUUGCCCAGAGGGUUCAUGAUGCCAUCGGGUUCAUGCUUGCUGCUGGUCUGCCUCCUCAGCAUCCCAUGAUGACCACAGCUGAAUUCUGGACAUCCCAUGAGUGCCUUCACUUGCCAUAUGAGCAGGCACUGACCAGGGAGGACUCCACUUCUGGCCUCUAUUACGACUGCUCUGCACACAUGCUCUGGGUUGGGGAGAGAACUAGGCAGCUGGAUGGUGCUCAUGUUGAAUUCCUCCGCGGUAUUUCCAAUCCUGUCGGCAUAAAGGUGAGUGAUAAGCUUGAUUCAUCGGAGCUUGUGAAACUCUGUGAGAUUUUGAAUCCUCACAACAAGCCCGGGAGGCUGACACUUAUCACAAGGAUGGGGGCCGAGAACAUGCGUGCCAAGCUCCCCCAUAUGAUCAGAGCCGUGCGUCAAGCAGGGCUGAUUGUCACCUGGGUCAGCGAUCCCAUGCACGGGAACACCAUCAGCGCACCUUGCGGGCUCAAGACAAGAUCAUUCGAUGCAAUCCGGGCUGAGCUUCGGGCUUUCUUUGAUGUCCAUGAGCAAGAGGGGAGCUACCCCGGAGGGGUUCACCUAGAGAUGACAGGGCAGAACGUUACAGAGUGCAUUGGUGGAUCCAACACAGUGACCUUCGACGAUCUCAGUUCCCGCUACCGCACGCACUGCGACCCCAGGCUGAACGCAUCGCAGUCGCUUGAGCUGGCCUUUGCCAUUGCCGAGAGGCUAAGGAAGAAGAGAGACAGGACAUGGACUAGCCUGAUAUAUAAAGUAGAAGCUUAA